GCAGCAUUCCCAGGCAGUCCUAAGUGUCCUACAGAAAAACCCUGGGUUGGACAUAAAGGGGGUCUGG
rfam:Felis catus isolate Cinnamon breed Abyssinian chromosome D2, whole genome shotgun sequence.